rnacentral:rRNA from 1 species
GAAGAACGCUGGCGGCGUGCCUAAUACAUGCAAGUCGAGCGAAUGGAUUAAGAGCUUGCUCUUAUGAAGUUAGCGGCGGACGGGUGAGUAACACGUGGGUAGCCUGCCCAUAAGACUAGGAUAACUCCGGGAAACCGGGGCUAAUACCGGAUAACAUUUUGAACCGCAUGGUUCGAAAUUGAAAGGCGGCUUCGGCUGUCACUUAUGGAUGGACCCGCGUCGCAUUAGCUAGUUGGUGAGGUAACGGCUCACCAAGGAAACGAUGCGUAGCCGACCUGAGAGGGUGAUCGGCCACACUGGGACUGAGACACGGCCCAGACUCCUACGGGAGGCAGCAGUAGGGAAUCUUCCGCAAUGGACGAAAGUCUGACGGAGCAACGCCGCGUGAGUGAUGAAGGCUUUCGGGUCGUAAAACUCUGUUGUUAGGGAAGAACAAGUGCUAGUUGAAUAAGCUGACACCUUGACGGUACCUAACCAGAAAGCCACGGCUAACUACGUGCCAGCAGCCGCCGUAA